rfam:Trichinella sp. T6 scaffold213s, whole genome shotgun sequence.
CCAACGGUCCUUUUAAGGACCACAUUUAUUUUACUCAAAUCAAGC